ACGGCUCAGUAACACGUGGACAACCUACCCUCAGCACGGGGAUAAACCCGGGAAACUGGGUAUAAUACCCGAUAGUUCUGGGAAGCUGGAAUGCUCCCAUGACGAAAGCUCCGGCGACUGAGGAUGGGUCUGCGGCCUAUCAGGUAGUAGUGGGUGUAAUGUACCUACUAGCCUACGACGGGUACGGGUCGUGAGAGCGAGAGCCCGGAGAUGGAUUCUGAGACACGAAUCCAGGCCCUACGGGGUGCAGCAGGCGCGAAAACUUUACAAUGCUGGCAACAGCGAUAAGGGGACCUCGAGUGCCGGGUUACAAAUCUGGCUGUCGUGAUGCCUAAAAAGCAUUGCAUAGCAAGGGCCGGGCAAGACCGGUGCCAGCCGCCGCGGUAACACCGGCGGCUCGAGUGGUAACCGUUAUUAUUGGGUCUAAAGGGUCUGUAGCCGGCCGGAUAAGUCUCUUGGGAAAUCUGGCAGCUUAACUGUCAGGCUUUCAGGAGAUACUGUCUGGCUCGAGGCCGGGAGAGGUGAGAGGUACUUCAGGGGUAGGGGUGAAAUCUUGUAAUCCUUGAAGGACCACCAGUGGCGAAGGCGUCUCACCAGAACGGACCUGACGGCAAGGGACGAAAGCUAGGGGCACGAACCGGAUUAGAUACCCGGGUAGUCCUAGCCGUAAACGAUACUCGCUAGGUGUCGGCCACGGUGCGACCGUUGUCGGUGCCGUAGGGAAGCCGUGAAGCGAGCCACCUGGGAAGUACGGCCGCAAGGCUGAAACUUAAAGGAAUUGGCGGGGGAG
rnacentral:rRNA from 1 species